GAUGAAGAACGUAGCGAAAUGCGAUACGUAGUGUGAAUUGCAGAAUUCCGUGAACCAUCGAGUCUUUGAACGCAAGUUGCGCCCGAAGCCACUAGGCCGAGGGCACGCCUGCCUGGGCGUCACACGUCGUUGCCCCCCCCCCAUCUACUCCUUCGGGAUUGCGGGGGGCGGAUGAUGGCCUCCCGUGCGCCUAGCCGCGCGGUUGGCAUAAAUACCAAGUCCUCGGCGACGCACGCCACGACAAUCGGUGGUUGCGAAACCUCGGUUGCCCGUCGUGUGCGUUCGUCGCGCAUCGAGGGCUCGAAAAAAUGCUCGGCUCCGGCUCGGCUUUCAACGCGACCCCAGGUCAGGCGGGGUUACCCGCUGAAUUUAAGCAUAUCAAUAAGCGGAGGA
rnacentral:misc_RNA from 1 species